AGGAAGUACAGAAAAUAAUAAGAACUGCUAAUUCUUAUGCCCGCGGUUAAAAUCCGCGGCUUCCUU
rnacentral:tRNA from 1 species